rnacentral:rRNA from 1 species
ACCAGACUCCUACGGGAGGCAGCGGUGGGGGAUAUUGCACAAUGGGGGAAACCCUGAUGCAGCGACGCCGCGUGAGUGAAGAAGUAUUUCGGUAUGUAAAGCUCUAUCAGCAGGGAAUAGAAAAGAAGGUACCUGAAAAAGAAGCCCCGGCUAACUACGUGCCAGCAGCCGCGGUAAUACGUAGGUGGCAAGCGUUAUCCGGAAUUACUGGGUGUAAAGGGUGUGUAGGCGGGGCUGCAAGUCAGAUGUGAAAAUUAUGGGCUCAACCCAUAACCUGCGUCUGAAACUGUAGCUCUUGAGUGAAGUAGAGGCAGGCGGAAUGCCUAGUGUAGCGGUGAAAUGCGUAGAUAUUAGGAGGAACACCGGUGGCGAAGGCGGCCUGCUGGACUGCGACUGACGUUGAGGCCCGAAAGCGUGGGGAGCAAACAGGAUUAGAUACCCUCGUA